AUGCCGCCCAGGGCUGCGACGGGCGGUGAUUGGUUCCUCAUCUCCCGGGAGACGCAGAAAGGGGCGGGGUUUUCCCCCGAAACCUGUGGCUGCAGGCUGCCGGAAGUGAGCGAGAGAGUCGGAAAAGUUAUUUGUUGUCGCCGGAAGUGGCUCGGCCCGGCCCGGCGGGACCGGCGGGGAACCGGCCCCGGCCGUCCCGCCUCCAGUCGGUCCUCCUCGCCGCAGGUGCGGGUGGACAGCGCGGAGGAGGGGGAGCUGCCCCUGGCGGCAGCCGCGGAGCUGGCCGCCCAGAAGCGCGAACAGAGGCUGCGCAAAUUCCGGGAGCUGCACCUGAAGCGGGAAUGUGCAGCAAGAGGGGAGGACUAUGAGAAAGUGAAGCUGCUGGAGAUCAGUGCAGAAGAUGCAGAAAGAUGGGAGAGGAAGUAGAGGAGGAAAAACCCUGACUUGGGAUUCUCAGAUUAUGCUGCUGCUCAGUUACGCCAGUAUCAUCGGCUGACCAAGCAGAUCAAACCUGACGUGGAAACUUACGAAAGACUGAGAGAAAAACUAAUUGAAAAACGAGACAAGUAUAGCUGGAGACAUCCUUAUAAUGAUGAUGCAGACAUCGACUACAUUAAUGAAAGGAAUGCCAAAUUCAACAAGAAAACAGAAAGAUUCUAUGGGAAAUAUACAGCUAAAAUUAAACAGAAUUUAGAAAGAGGAACAGCAGUCUAAUCUCCUUUAGGAACUGUUUUGACUGCCAAAUUGUAACAGUAAACCAGGACUAUUACCUUUCCUUUUAUAAUUUGUAAAGUGUUCUAUGACUAUGUAUUUUCAUGCUUAUAUAUUUAUUAUUCACUCAUUUCAGAAAAAAAAAAGUCAUAUAUUUAUGUGUUCAGAAUGUGUGCUUCAUGUGUGUACUCUGCUGCGCUUAAAACUCCUGGCUACAAACGUGAGUCAUCAUCAUCCUUGUAUUUGUCCUAUGUUUGGACUUGACCUAGAAUUGAACUUGGGAGCUUCAGAGAUAGAAUGCUAAAUUGGGACUAAUUUUUCUUGUAAGCUAUGGUAGGUGGUGAAAGGAAGGGGACAGUGGCUACUGGAAAUUCACCCUGGCCAACCCUCUCCAGAAGUAGUCACAAUUAACAGGUGCUAGCCUAUCCUAUGCUCUACCCCAGGGCCCAGGUACAUUUAUGGGGCAAGCCCAGAAGGUAUGAAACUGAUCCUCUAAUGACAUUUUGUAAAUACAUCACUUUCAAAAGCAAAUUUCCCAUGGAAGAAAGUAAAUAAAACAUUUGGUCAAAGUAUUAUUAAAACUUACAUAGUACAAUUUUUUUUUAAAAACCUAAUUGAAAUUUUAUUUCAACUGUAACUGAAAAAUGAGGGCAUGUAGUUUGAGUGGUAGUUAUGGGAAAUAUAGGACAGAAAACCUGAGUAAAGGAGGUUCUUUGUGCCAGUUUAUAUGAAAAGAAUAGGACUGGUAUCAGUAAGUUGGGCACACCAGUAGCUCUGAUUUAGUGAAUGAUGGGCUGAUUAAGAUGGUAAUGUAAGUGCUACUAAUAAUGGUAUAUUCAAUGUAUUGUGAAUAGGGAAACUUUAAUGUUGUACACUCAAAUAUAGAAUGAGAUAGAUCUAUAUAUACUAACAUGAAAAGAUGCUCAUAUCCAAAGAGUUUGUAUAAGGCAUAAAAAAAAAAAAAAAGUGGCGCCGGGGUGGCUCAGUCGUUAAGCGUCUGCCUUCAGCUCAGGUCAUGAUCCCAGGGUCCUGGGAUCGAGCCCCGCAUUGGGCUCCCUGCUCAGUGGGAAGCCUGCUUCUCCCUCUCCCACUCCCCCUGCUUGUGUUCCCUCUCUUGCUGUGUCUCUGUCAAAUAAAUAAAAUCCUUAAAAGAAAAAAGAAAACCCAGCAUGUACAUCAUACUAUAUAUGAUUGCCUCUGGGGAAUGAAAACAGAGGCAGUAAUUUUACUUUGACUUCCUUUUAAAAAUAAUGCAAGGGAGGGACCCCUGUGUGGCUCAGUUAGUUAAGCGUCUACCUUCAGCUCAGGUCACGAUCCCAGGGUCCUGGGAUCGAGUCCCGCAUCUGGCUCCCUGCUCCUUGGGAGCCUGCUUCUCCCUCUGCCUCUCUGUCUCUCAUGAAUAAAUAAAAUCUUUAAAAACAAAACAAAAAACAACCAAUGUGUUUAAAAAAAAAAUAAUUCAAGGGACAUCUGCCUUUGGCUCAGGUCAUGAUCCCAGGCUCCACGUAGGGCUCGUUGCUUAGUGAAGAGCCUGCUCCUCCCUCUGCCUGUGCCCCCUUCUUGUGCUGACAAAUAAAAAUCUUAAAAAAAAAAAAAAUAGUAAUUCAAGAAAGGAAGCCUGGGUGGUGCAGUUGGUUAAGUGUUCCACUCUUGGUUUCAGCUCAGGCCAUGAUCUCAGGGUCCUGGGAUUGAGCCCCAUUUCAGGCUCCCUGCUCAGCGUGGAGUCUGCUCGAGAUUCUCUCCCUCUCUCCCUCUGCCCCUCCUGCUAGUGCUAUCUCCAAAAGAUCUUUAAAAAAAUUCAAGACGAAUACACACCUAUGCUGCUGUCUCCUCAAAAAAACUGAUCACCUGCUUUAUGUGGCUCUCCAGUAUUUACCAAGAAAACAUUUAGUACCAGCAUACUAAGGGAAAAGAGGAGGGAAAGAUUAGUAAGGAUAGGUUUCAUAGACAUCAUAAUCUGGAUUUAAAGGAAAAACAGGAGCACCUGGGUGGCUCGGUUAAGGGUUGCCUUUGGCUCAGGUUAUGAUUCCAGAGUCCUGGGAUCAAGCCCCACAUCGGGCCCCCUGCUCAGGGGGUAGUCUGCUUCUCCCUCUCCCUCUACUAGACCUGCUGGUGUUCUCUCAAAUCUAUAAAAUCUUAAAAAAAAAAAAAAGAAACACGGAUUUCUCCAGAGGAGAAAAGCACUCCCCAACAGUCACUGCUGCUUAAACCAGAAGCGCAGAUGUCAGUAGGAUGUGAGGAUUACUCUGAAGGUGACUGGGUGGAUGGUCAAAUAGGCAAUAUUGUAGAAGUUCAGCAUAGGAAAGGUGCAUUUUGAAGAGCGCAGGAGUAAGCACUGGAAAGGAACUCGGGAAAUUCUCAGUUAGUAGAUGGUAGAAGGCAGCAUGGAGGAAAUUGCUAAGAGCUUGUAGAGAGAAGCAGGCCAAGGAUACAAUCCAUCAGUGGGCAAAGGACAAAGAGCCAGUGUAGAAAAUGGAAGAGGUCAAAGGAAAUAAAUGCAUGUAAAUCCCUGCAAGAAAAUUUUGACAAAGGACUCUAUAGAGAAAGAGUGAAAAGUACUCGUUAAGACGAAGUUUUAUUUUACUAGAUAAGCGUAAGAGGUUUUCAGCAAAGAAAACGAAAGGGAAGCAUGCUAUGGUGACUUAAAUACAGUUCCUCUAGUUCACGCUUUAAGAAAAAAAGCAAAGGAUUUAACACCUGAACCAAUCUAGGGAUGUGCUUUCCAAAAUGGUGGCCAUCCACCAUAUGUGACUUUAAAAGUGGCUAGGACAAACUGAGGUGUGCUUUAAGUGUAAAAUACAUGAUUACAAUACCUAGUACAAAAAAAGUAAAAUGCCACCAAUUCUUAGAAUAUUGAAAUGACAUUUUAGAUAUACUAGGGUAAAAAACUUUCACUGAUUCUUUUUACCUUUUUCAAUGUGGUUCCCUCAUUUUCACUGGACAGCACUGAAUCUAAUCUCUUGGUAUAAUUUCUCACCAUCGGCACCAUCUUGCUAUACUGUCCACCACUUACACAGUAACAGGGUAUUACACCUGGGCAACUGCAUCCCACUUACAUAAUGAAGGCCAGUCUGGCUUUACACACACAGUACAUUAUCUUCUGUGUUACAAAGCCCAGGACAAACUAAACACCACAGACCUGGCCAGACCCAACAGACAAGGUGAACUUAGACAAGAACACUGUUAGUACUUGAUGGGGCAAUUAUGAAAAAAAAAAAAAAUGAAGAAUAUAAACCAUAUUCUUUUCAGGACACUAGAUAAGAGAAAAUGAGCCAACAGACCAAGAAAUUAAAGAGUAUGAAAUAGCUAAGCCUCAAGCGUGCUAAUAGACUGAAGAAGCUAAUGGUGAAGAAUGCCAAAGGUAAAAAUCACUGCAGAAGUAUCAGAAGUGGUAAUUAGCCCAGACCAUUCUUAUGUAAUGAAGGAGUUUGGUUGAAGAGUUACAGGACUUAUCCAGUCACUCAGCUAGCCGUUCAGGGCUAGUAUUCAAAUACGUGUCAUAAUCAGAGCAGCAAAUGCUGCUACCAGCGAAAUGAAGGUAAGAAAGAUUAUCACAUCAAUUCUUUUCCAAAGUCCCCCUCACAAGGAAACCCUCUGCAACUUUGCUAAGGAUACCAACUAAAGAUACUAACAAGGUGUUCAUAUUAGCCACAUUCUGUUACAACUCAAAUCCUCAUGUUUUAUUGGAUUUGGCUGUAACCAGGCCAGCCUACCAAUGUUCUCAGGUCUCCUUAAAAUGAACCUACUGCAUAAACUUUUGUACUUCUUUAGAAGCAUGUCCCCCUCCUGGUAACUACUGUUAACCUAGAUGUAAAAUGGACAUGUUCACCCAGAGCAGCAACCCUUUCUCACGGAAUUUUCCGUUCGUUGUCCAUUUAAAUUUUUCGUAAGGUCAAAUUUUAUUA